ACACUGACGUCGCGACGCAUAUCAAUAAGCGGAGGAAAAGAAACUAACAAGGAUUCCCUUAGUAACGGCGAGUGAAGCGGGAAGAGCUCAAAUUUGAAAUCUUCAAGGUUCUACCUUGACGAAUUGUAGUUUAAAGAGGUGUUUUCUGUUAGAUGAGUAGCAAAAGUUCCUUGGAAUGGGACAUCAUAGAGGGUGAGAAUCCCGUAUUUGGUUAUUCAUUCUAGCUUUGUGAUACACUUUCAAAGAGUCGGAUUGUUUGGGAAUGCAGUCCAAAAUGGGUGGUAAAUCUCAUCUAAAGCUAAAUAUUGGCGAGAGACCGAUAGCGAACAAGUACCGUGAGGGAAAGAUGAAAAGAACUUUGAAAAGAGAGUUAAACAGUACGUGAAAUUGUCAAAAGGGAAGCGUUUGACACCAGUGUUGUUUUUCCGAAAAUCAAUUAUAAAUGUUUUGUUUCUGAGGAGUGAUGACUUCAUCGGCUUCCUUCUCUCUUCACGAAACUUUUGUAAUGCACUUUUCGGUUAACAAGUCAACAUCAAUUUCUUUUGUUGUAAAAGAGUAUUCGGAAGGUGGCUUUCUUUUCGGAGAAAGUGUUUAUAGCCCUAUACUUCUACAAUCGGAGAGAUUGAGGUCUGCAGCGUAGAUCCUUCGGGGUUAGAUACAUUUGUGCUAAGUUAUAGCUUUUCAUAGACAACUUGUUGACUAUGUUUAGUCAUGUCGGCUUACUCGCUUAGUGCUAUUUUACCUACGCUUAGGAUGUUGAGUCGUAGAGCACGCAG
rnacentral:rRNA from 1 species